GGAUGUGAGGGCGAUCUGGUUGCGGCAUCUGUCACCCCAUUGACCGCCAGAGUUGAUUCGGCUGACCUGGCUGGCUAGGCGGGUGUCCCCUUCCUCCCUCACCACUCCACGUGCAUCCCUCCCGAAAAUGCUCUCUUGGUCAAAGAGGAUGACUGUCCCCGAUAGAGAAGGACCGUUCUUCUCUGUCAAGGGUUUAUGAGCAGCUAUGCUCCCCUGCUGGAAACUCCAAACAAGCUCUCAGGAGAUGGAGAUUAAUCCCCUACCUCUUGAAUAUGGGCUGGCCUCAAU
rnacentral:snRNA from 1 species